AAUGCAAGUUAGACAUGAUAGUUCUAUCCCACACCAUGUUUGUAAACAACACAUGCUGUGGUGAAGGAGAUUAACCAGGGCUUCCACCUCACUUUAAAAAAGGGGCGGGCUAGACUACAAUAAUUAUUCUUACAGACAGUAUAUCUACCUCUAGGCUGUUACUGUAGUUUUGGUAGACAUUCUGAAGCUUUUUACAAUCGAAAAAACUUUUUGAAAUAUGUACACAAGAUCACUAUUAGCUGUUGUGCUAGUAUUUGUACUGCUAAAUUGGUACAAUCAAAUUGGAUUCAAGGACAAGAAUCUACUGAAAACAACGACCAUAAAAAUCCAAUCUGCAAAAUACCCAAAGGCUACACACAACAGAGUGGUUUUAUAAUAUACUACUGUGAGAUUCUACAAUCCAAUGUCCAGGCCAUGCACUUAAUAGUGGACAAUGUAAAACAAGAGAGGGAGUCAACGGGACGCUACCCAACAACAGGAGUGCGAUAUGUUCAAUUCUCUGAGAGAGCCUGUGAAUUAAUUGAUAAUACAACUUCUGAAAGAUGUGCAAGUCUCCUUAUUAUACUUGGACCAGAACUAAGACAAGGUGCCAAUGUGAUUGUGUGUGCACUGCAUGGAAAAGUCAACACUACACACAAUUGCAACACUCGACUCAAUCUGGAAAGUACAGUUGAACCAACACAAAUAAUUCACAGCAAUUUGGCUCAAAAUAACAACAAUUCAUAUCCAGAACCAAACCAAUCAUGCACAGGAAUAACCCAGAAAGAGUAUACAAGGGAUAUAGCUCUCUCUGUUGUUGUACCAACUGCAAUCUUCAUUGUUUUGAUUGUGCUCGUCUGUGUUUGGAAGAAUUGUGACUCUACUAAAUGCAGCAAAAUUCAGGCCAAUAAACCAAACCAUGAUACGACGACAACAUCAGAAACACAGUUCAUUGAAAGCAACAACACAGUUUAAAUGACUACUAUAGAUACAAACUAUCUGGACAAUCUGCAAACUCUCAUUCCUAUUCUGCAAGCAAGGCAUUUCAUAAAUUAUGCUGCAGUAGGCUAACUAAUGACCAAUAGUACUAGACUUUUCUAGAACAAAAAUAUGAUGAAAUUAUCCCUAUUCACGCACAUUAUGUCAUACAUCUACAUGUAUAGGUCCUGGAGUUAUUGCUAAAUUAUGAUGUAGAUAUAU